UCUAGAGCUAAUACAUGCGAAAAAAGCUUGUAGGGGUGAGUAAUCAACCUUGCAGGUGAUGCAUUUAUUAGAUUAAGCCAAUCAAUGUUUGGAACAGUUAAUAGCUGUUUCAACGUUGCUGUGGUGAGUCUGGAUAACUGUGCCGAUCGUAUGGCCUAGAGCCGGCGACAUUUCGAUUAAAUUUCUGCCCUAUCAACUUGUUGGUAAGGUAGUGGCUUACCAAGGUGAUAACGGGUAACGGGGAAUCAGGGUUCGAUUCCGGAGAGGGAGCCUGAGAAAUGGCUACCACAUCCAAGGACGGCAGCAGGCGCGCAAAUUACCCAAUCCAGACACUGGGAGGUGGUGACGAGAAAUACCAGGUCGGUCCCAAAAGGAUUCGACACUGGAAUGAGUUCAAUUUAAGAAUUUGAAUGAGUAGCAACUGGAGGGCAAGUCUGGUGCCAGCAGCCGCGGUAAUUCCAGCUCCAGUAGUGUAUCCAAACGUUGCUGCGGUUAAAACGCUCGUAGUUGGACAAUAGAGUAAUUUAGUGCGGGCGGGAGAUGUAAUUGCUCCAUGUAACUGACUAUUAUGAGUAGUAUAAAGUGGGAAGAAUGAGAUGGGUGGUAAAAGUAAGAUGGCUAUGAUGAAAGUUGUGGUUGUUUUAUUUUUAUUGCUCAUUUUGUUGUUUCAUUUCUUUUGCUUAUUUGUAAUAGUAAAUAGUGCAUGGUAGUAGCAUCUGUCGACCAUGCAGCUAAGUUACUUGUAAUGUUUCGUGAGAAUAGUACAUGAUCUUAAUUGUAUUGUGUACCAUGUCUUACGUAGUGUGCCUUGAAUAAAUCAGAGUGCUCAAAGCAAGCUAAUUGCUUGAAUGUUAAUAGCAUGGAACGAAUGUUUAGUGGAAGUGUAUCAAUGUGCACCUAUGAGUACUUGUGCUUGUAGGCGCGUGUUGAUACACAGCACCAACCACGAAGCGGAACAUUGGUUACCGACUUCGGGUGAGGAUUAAAAGGGGCAUUUGGG
rnacentral:rRNA from 1 species